rnacentral:rRNA from 1 species
UUGAACUGAAGAGUUUGAUCCUGGCUCAGAUUGAACGCUGGCGGCAUGCCUUACACAUGCAAGUCGAACGGCAGCACGGGGGCAACCCUGGU